rnacentral:tRNA from 1 species
AAUUGAGUAAGCUAAAUCUAAGCUGUAAGGCUCAUAACCUUAAAAUGGAACUCCCCUCAAUUA